rnacentral:rRNA from 1 species
GACGAACGCUGGCGGCGUGCCUAAUACAUGCAAGUAGAACGCACAGUUUAUACCGUAGCUUGCUACACCAUAGACUGUGAGUUGCGAACGGGUGAGUAACGCGUAGGUAACCUGCCUGGUAGCGGGGGGUAACUAUUGGAAACGAUAGCUAAUACCGCAUAAUAUUGAUUAUUGCAUGAUAAUUGAUUGAAAGAUGCUAUUGCAUCACUACCAGAUGGACCUGCGUUGUAUUAGCUAGUAGGUGAGGUAACGGCUCACCUAGGCGACGAUACAUAGCCGACCUGAGAGGGUGAUCGGCCACACUGGGACUGAGACACGGCCCAGACUCCUGCGGGAGGCAGCAGUAGGGAAUCUUCGGCAAUGGACGAAAGUCUGACCGAGCAACGCCGCGUGAGUGAAGAAGGUUUUCGGAUCGUAAAGCUCUGUUGUAAGAGAAGAACGGGUGUGAGAGUGGAAAGUUCACACUGUGACGGUAUCUUACCAGAAAGGGACGGCUAACUACGUG